rnacentral:rRNA from 1 species
AUGACUAGGGAUAACCUUAGGAAGAGACACAUCAUCAAACCCCUUGAUUGUGUUUACUGCUUGGAACAAGAGUCUUGUUCUCACCUAUUUUUUGAAUGUAUAGUUGCUAAACAUCUCUGGGCCCACAUUGAGGAAUAUUUCUCUAGUCAGAUUGGCUCAUCCUUUGAAUCUGUCGCCAGAUUCUGGAUUGCUACCAAAAAGUACUCAAUUUUAGAUACUGUUAGCUCAGCUGUCCUUUGGUGCCUCUAGAAAUAUAGAAAUGCUAUGAUUUUCAGUAACACCUCCUGGAUUUCCAUUCCGCGGGUCUUGAGGUUGAUCAGGAACAUGGUGAGGAACUGGGCAAUUCUCUCCUCCGGAUCGGACAAGGACAAGUUGAUGAGCUUCAUGGAAACCCUAACAAGAUCCCUCUAG